AAAGGGAGACCUAAUUCCGGUAGGAGACGAAAAAAAAGUAGUCCCAACCAAGAAUCAAUCCCAAAAGGUCGGAGCGAGGCGAAAUUGGCUUUCAAACUAGGUUCUGGGUUCACACAAGACCUGAAUCAGGAACAAGGGCUAUUAGCUCAGGUGGUUAGAGCGCAUCCCUGAUAAGGGUGAGGUCCCUGGUUCGAGUCCAGGAUGGCCCACCUGCACAGGUGGCAAAAACAAAGAAAAAAAGCUCCGAAUCAGCACCUUAUCUUACUUAUACAGUAAGAGAGAAUGCUGGCUCUGAGUUCAGAGUCCAGAGGAACCUUGAAAACUGCAUAGAGCUAGGUGAAAAAGCCAAAAAAGAAGACCGCAAG
rnacentral:tRNA from 1 species